GAUGAACGCUGGCGGCGUGCCUAAUACAUGCAAGUCGAGCGAACAGACGAGGAGCUUGCGCCUCGGACGUGAGCGGCGGACGGGGGAGGAACACGUGGAGAACCUACCGAGAAGACUGGGAUAACUUCGGGAAACCGGAGCUAAUACCGGAUAAUAUAUUGAACCGCAUGGUUCAAUAGUGAAAGACGGUUUUGCUGUCACUUAUAGAUGGAUCCGCGCCGCAUUAGCUAGUUGGUAAGGUAACGGCUUACCAAGGCAACGAUGCGUAGCCGACCUGAGAGGGUGAUCGGCCACACUGGAACUGAGACACGGUCCAGACUCCUACGGGAGGCAGCAGUAGGGAAUCUUCCGCAAUGGGCGAAAGCCUGACGGAGCAACGCCGCGUGAGUGAUGAAGGUCUUCGGAUCGUAAAACUCUGUUAUUAGGGAAGAACAAAUGUGUAAGUAACUAUGCACGUCUUGACGGUACCUAAUCAGAAAGCCACGGCUAACUACGUG
rnacentral:rRNA from 1 species